rnacentral:rRNA from 1 species
GACGAACCGUGCGAACGUUAUUCGGAAUCACUGGGCUUAAAGCGCGUGUAGGCGGCCCGGCACGUCCGUCGCUGAAAGCCCCCGGCUCAACCGGGGAAGGGGCGCGGAUACGACCGGGCUGGAGGGGGGUAGGGGGCGCCGGAACUCACGGUGGAGCGGUGAAAUGCGUUGAGAUCCACAGGAACUCCGGUGGCGAAGGCGGCACGCUGGACCCCAUCUGACGCUGAGGCGCGAAAGCCAGGGGAGCGAACGGG